CUGUCUAGUGACAACCAGGAAGUGUCGUUGCAAUGACGAAUGGACUAGAGACGUCUUUUUAGUUUCGAGUCACUGAUCUGUAUAAUAUAUCUGGAUAGCUCAUUGGCGAUGACUUGUGAAGGCAAACGGCCGCCAUAUUGCUACUCGCAAGAAACACUUUUCGGGCAAGUUUUGCAUUCGUGGUGAACUUAUUUUAUUAAUUCGGAUUCGCCACAAAUUUCGACUUAAGAUGCCUGCAUGUGCAGCUAUUAACUCCACAAAUGGACCGUGGACGAACAUUUCACGUCAGCUUAUCCAGUGACGACGGAGAAAGACUUUAAACUGCUUUGGAAGCAGAGUUUGUACAAGAUUUGUCAUGCUUUCUUCAUCCCCAUCAUGAACAAAUGACGUGUCAGCUCUGUUGGUCUUACUGUAUGGAGUAAACAACAGUAUGAAGAUUUAAAACUACCAUUUAUCUAUUCUCAUGCCACGCAGGGGUUGGCUGUCUCUCACUGCGGAUUAAGUUUUAAAUGAAACUGCUUCGCCAACGAGAUGUCUUUGUUCGUCUGUUAUGACAGUUGGUUUGUCUUACCCUCUUUCCUGUGAUUUGGAGCUGAGUCAUCAGCAACUUGAACACAGUAGGUCUUCCUGGUCUGAAUCCCUCCUCCGCAGAGACGACUAACGUUUGCCAGACGCCGGUCCAGCUUGCUCAGUAAGGGUGCAACGAGACAUUCAUCCCAGUCAGUGGUCCUCCACUCGUAGCUGAAAAGCCAAACAUAUACACACACAUACGCGGACUUGCCGUGUCUGGUAUCCCACCUCCAGCUCCCAUGACAUGGGUUGCUUGCGAUGGCUAUGAUGGUGAUGUUCGUGGAAAUGGGACGCCUCCUUGUGCAACAUGACUGUAUUGUUCUCCUUGUUACUUCUGAAAUCCACAGUAGUCCGGCCACUCAACAGGUCGUCCUUGUGAUGGGGGAGCCGACACCGGCUCCAGGCUCCUACUUUAAGGCUAUACUGGUACUCAUCCUCCCCAGCAGGGCAGUCAACAGGGCCAGAACAAGUCCUGGUCUCCGUCAGAUUGGGGCAGCUUGCGCCUCCGUACAUGGAUGUUGUCAGAACAUGUCGAGUCCGAUGCUGCAAGCCAACGCCACAUGUCUUACUGCAGCCUGACCAGGAGUUGAAGUCUGAUACAACACAGUCCUGAGGACAGGGAAUGAGACAAGCCUGCUCCACAGGUGGUUUCUGGGAAAAGAACUCACAUAUCCUUGAAGUGACUGUAGUGCGGUUUGAAGUGCGCACACACUGAGCCUUUCGUCUCUGGAUGCCAUGCUGUGCUGUAAUGCACUCUGUGGUCCUCAGCUUGAGCUCAUUGGAAAAGAAAGGGACAAGAACACAGCCCUCCCAGGCAGACAGCUCCCACUCAAAGAGGUCCUGGUGCCAGUCGCACACCUUAAAGCAGUGUCGCAGAUUCUGAGGUUUGUCCAUGUGGUUACAGUGCGAGUGGUGGGUGGUCCACCCCUCUGUAUGGACACACCAAACUGUCCUGGUCUGAACGCCACCGGAACCACACUCUUCGCCCAUACAAUGACCCCACUGGCCUGAAGCAGAGAAAGCACACCAAAGAAGGAUCAUUUCAUUAAAAUGGAAGCUUUAAAAAAAAAAAAAGGUGAUUGCCGUUAUCUGCCAACUUGCAAUCAAAUACAAUUCAAAGCCAUUCGCUUAACCUCUGUGAUUGCUUUAUUCAUGAACAGAGGGCAGACGCAACAAAAGGAACCAAAGGCAAUCAAGCCAGUGGUGAAUAUCAAUAUAUAGAAAUAAAGGACCACUUUGUCAGCCGUAAAGGAUGAGAUUUACUUAGUUUCUUAAUUCCAAACAGGUCAGUGCCCGAUGCCAUGUGAGCCACAGCCCACAGGUCCGAUAUCCUUCAACCACGCUAUUAAAUGACAUCCUUGUGUUAACAAAAUAACUUUGAAUAAAGACUUUAUUUUUGGGACAGUAACCAACCCUUGAAUCUGUUGAUUUAUGCGUCAGGGGGAAAAAGUUUUAAAUUGGUGAAUUGUGUCAUAGUUCAUUGGUGCAUCUAAUUGACUUUGUUUGUCCUGACUUUGUAAUCGUGAUAUCCAGUGUUAUGAAUAUUUGUGUUUCUGCUAUCUUUUCAUCUUACGCCUCCACUUUUUUUGUUACAAAUAUGAAUGCCCCAUCUUUAAAGGUUUGAGUGUAUAAAAACAUGAGGAAACUUGAUUGCGUACGCAAAGUUUAUCUACUAACAGGAUGUAAUGAGGAUUACAUCUGUCAUAUGAGCGAAAUAGCUUUGGCAAUCCAUUUUGAGUGUUUGCCUUCAUGAAUAUGCAGACUGUAUACAGAUUAUCAGAACGCACAAACUACCAGGAAGUGGAUAUACAAAUAUAAAUAAUUUAGCACAUGCAAUGUGAUUUAUUAAAACUGAAACAUGUUUGCGGUCUGUGUUCAUGCCGCGUUUUUAGCAUGUUUAGAAGGCAGGUUCAAACUCGCUGGUCAUUCUAGCAAGGAGCAGGCACGCAAUGACAAAGGACUGUUAGAAAGAAAACCAGUAAGAGACAUACCGACAUGCAGCGCUGCAAUUCAUGAGCGACUGGUAUUGCUGAUUCGGAGCCAGUCCCAAAAAAAGAGCCAUGCCACACAUCUCCAUGGAAAAACUCCUUGAAACACUGCAUUUUCUUGCGUCUGCCGGUGUAAUAAUGACCAGUGCGCACCUGUCAUGUCCUUUGGUGCAAUAGUGUGAAUUUUAGUGUGGAUUUCACCAGCUACAGUAUAUAAUACCCCUUUUCCAUUGUCGCGAACUUUGAUGUUGGUGCUGGAUUAAGUUCGAGGUCGAGGUGGCUCGACACCAGUUUAAUUUUCCGUUGACCCGGGGAGCCAUGUCAUUACGUCACAGGGGUUACGCCUCCCAUCAGGAAAUAACAGGAAAUUUCAAGUGUUGACCAUUUUUUAAUCUAAACACACAACUCACUAUAGUCUUGACACUGCACACUAUUUACAGGUAAAGGUAUAAAUGUAACGGUGCAAAAAUGUAAAAAUUGCAAAACAUUUUAACAUAAAGAUUGCACGUUGCAGGGUUCGGGUUG